rnacentral:lncRNA from 1 species
UCAGGUGAUCCACCCACCUCAACCUCUCAAAGUGCUGGGAUUACAGGCGUGAGCCACUGCUCCCAGCUGAGAGCUGGCUUUUCUUAGGGCUUUGUUCAACUGUACCUGUUGAUGAUCCUAGGUCACCAGCUUCUCCAGCACCCAAUCCGGAAUAUAUGUGGCUAAAACAAAACCUUGGGAACUCACUGCCACAUUAUUCCUUAAAGUUUGUAACUGGUCAACUUUCUUCUUUCCACCUUCCAGAGUCUUCUUAUAUUUGGCUUAUAUAUAAUGCCCGGGGUUUUCAGUUGUGCUUUGUGGGAGGAAUACGGAGAAAUGUGUCUGCCCCAUCUCACACAGAACUAGAAUGCAGCCUGGUUUUGAACUAGAAUGCAGCCUGGUUUUGAAACCACUGCAUGAGAGAAUUCCUUUGAGGUGGGUGAGAGAACUCAAUCAGGUGGCUAUUACGCUGGCCCAAAUCAGGCAAGGCACCUCCCGUUCCCUGCCCCAGAGGCAGAUGUGGUUCCUGUACUCUCCCAGAGCACAGAGGCCCUCAUCAGCCGCUGGGGCUGGGACGCGAGAGGGCUUCUCUCUGCUUACAGGGCUGUGGGCUUCUCUUUCACACCGGGUCCAUCAUCUUCAGCUCCCACAGAGCUUCCCUCUUUUGAUGGCCCAGGCUGAGAUGAUCCUUCUCUCUCUUCUGUGCCAUCUGCCCCUGUCUUUGCUAUUGCGCCUACCUCACUCUUCACCCGUAUGUGCGCCCACAAUAUGGGGAGACACUCUGAGGUCCUUGUCACAGGGGCCAUUUUAUUUCCUUUUACUUCUGCAAGCUCAGCCCAAGGUCUGUUGCUCAUGGGCCUGGAGUUGGGCUGGGUGGAGAUGGACUGGCCCAGGGAUUUGACGGGGUGCAGAAGGGAGCGGUGCCGCUGGGACUGAGCUUUGGAGGCUUAGGGUUGGGAAGGCUGUGUGCAAGGUCACUGGAUUCCCUAGAGUCCUGAAAUGAUAAAGAUCUGUGGGAGACUUCCUUUGGGGUCAAGGCAGUUAAUGCUUUUUUCUUAUCUCAUCUCAAAUCUCAAAUUCUAAAUGAAGAGAACAGAAUUCAGGAUUAAAGUAAAUAAAUGAAAGAUUAUCCCUUGUUUGAACUACCUGGGUGAUUUGCGUAUUCAACCCUUCUCAGAGGAAUUCAGAAGAUUAUCAGGGAGAAGAAAUGAAGAUUAUCCAAACUUGCAGGAUACCUUAAAAUGAGGUUUGUUAAACAGGCAUGUUCAUAAAUCAGGGGCUGGAGCUGGCAUAGGUGUGAGGAGGGAGGGUUAGGUGAGAUGGUUCAUUUCAUUAGACCAUACUGCUGAAGGCAGAAGGCGUGGGGGCAAGGUCUGCCUUUUCCCCACCGAGUCCUUCUGCUGUGUGACCUUGGGUGAUUUCCUGCCCUCUCUGGGCCUUGGUGUUUUCACUGGUCAUCUGAUGCAGUUGGACUUUUAGCUCAAACCCAAUGUCCUGGGAGCCUUAAACUUGACUCCCCUAAAGUUCUUCAGUAGCUCCCUAUGAAUACCCAAAUCAAGUCCAAACUUUAAAAGGUCUCCUGGGUGUAGCCCAUCUACUCCUCUGUCUUUGUCCCUUCUCUCCCCCUCAUUUUGCCAGGUUCUUCAGUCACAUUAGCGAUCCCUAGACUGGGCCAUACUCUGCCACACCUCUGGGCCUUGCCCAUGCUGUUCUAGGACUAGAACACCCACCCUAGCUUGCUUGCCACUUUGCUAAUUCCUCCUUACAGCUCAUGUGAAGGAGCUGUCUCCUCCUCCAGGAAGCCCUCCCUGACCUUCCCUCCAUCUGCUGUGUCUCUCAGUCCUGCCUUUACUGUAUGUUGUUGCAAUUCAUCUUUGCCCUCUGUCCUGGAGGCUCCUUGGGAUGGGAAGGGCUGUGAUUUGGUCACCUUUGAAUGCUGUCUGCCUGGCACCAGGCCUGGCUGGGAGCAGGAGCUGGUGUUAAAAUGAACUGAAGAUGAGAUUUGGCUGUUGCCUGUAGUGGGUGAGCUGACCCAUUGGGAACAGGAGUCGGGGUGAGGGGGUGGUCAGAAACUUUCUUUUCUGCUUCCCCAGACAUCGUCUUAAAAAAAUGUCAACUUAUAUAAAAUGAAUUGGCCUGACCUUGUGUGUCUCUGUUGCCAAAAUAUUUUGAAUAGACCAUUAUGCAUUUUCUAGCUCUUUAAAGGUGGGACUAUGGUGACAAGUGACCAGCUUGUACUGGUCCGUCUGGGGCUUUCCUGGUUUUUCAAGGUAGGUCCUGUGUCUGGAAAUCCCCUCAGUCCUAGACAAACUCUGAUAUUUAGUGGCCCUAUGGUGUGAGGCCUCUUUCCUUCCUCCCCUAGGGUCAAGCUUGCUGUGCGGAGCUGUGGAGUCUGCUGGAAAAACCAGAUGACCAUUUCCAAUUUUCCUCAUCCUUCUGGCUUGGAAUUGCCAUGGUUUUCCUGAAGCCCAGCAAGCUGAAGCCAGACUACUUGAUAGAAGCUUCAGAGAAGCCACCUCAACAGCUCAUGCAUGGAAAACCUUUGUGACCUCCAAGCUGCAAACCAGGAAGAGCUGUCACUUGCCGCUGCCUGCUCCAGCUGAAGGGUCUUCAGGCCUAGCAUCUAGAAAUCUUCUUGACCGGCUGACUGCCUUCUGGACUCAGAAAGGCUUCUAUUCCUGUGUGGCUGGAAACUGGGGAAACCUGGCCUCUGGACGGCUCACAGUAA